rnacentral:rRNA from 1 species
CCCUUAGAUGUUCUGGGCCGCACGCGCGCUACACUGACGAAUGCAACGAGCUUAUAACCUUGGCCGAAAGGUCUGGGUAAUCUCCAAAUUUCGUCGUGAUGGGGAUAGAUUAUUGCAAUUAUUAAUCUUCAACGAGGAAUGCCUAGUAAGCGCAAGUCAUCAGCUUGCGUUGAUUACGUCCCUGCCCUUUGUACGCACCGCCCGUCGCUCCUACCGAUUGAAUGGUCCGGUGAAGCGCUCGGACCGCGGCCUCUUGACGGUUCGCUGUCGAUUGGCUGUGGGAAGUUCGUUAAACCUUAUCAUUUAGAGGAAGGAGAAGUCGUAACA